UCAACUUGAGAGUUUGAUCCUGGCUCAGAACGAACGCUGGCGGCAGGCCUAACACAUGCAAGUCGAGCGCUACUUUCGGGUGGAGCGGCGGACGGGUUAGUAACGCGUGGGAAUAUACCCUUUUCUAAGGAAUAGCCACUGGAAACGGUGAGUAAUACCUUAUACGCCCUUCGGGGGAAAGAUUUAUCGGUAAAGGAUUAGCCC
rnacentral:rRNA from 1 species